rnacentral:miRNA from 10 species
UUGGUAAUGUUGUGACUGUUGU